AAAGCGGAGGCGCUUCAUGAGGUCGGGUGCGUACUGCAUGCGGGUCUCACGGUCGUGCUCCAGCCAUAGCACGGACAUCUGGAAAAGUGCCAGCUCCGACUCCACGGGGGGCGGCAGCGAGUCCAACAGGGCACGCAUCUCCUCGAAGUUAAGCAACAGCACAUCUUCCACCAGCGACAGCGGUGACAGCAGCGGCGGCAAAAGUGGAGGCUGAGGCCGUGACACCUCGUGGGCUCGAGUCCAUGCCCGGCUGGAUGAACGGAAAGGCCGGGAGUGGGGAGUCAGGGGGUGCCUCAAGAGCUCAGAGGCGACCGACGGCGGCGGUUCCAGGGCUGAACAGGAAGGGACCCUCUUGCCCGUGUCCCGCCCGCGCGCCCGCCGGGACCACCGCCGCCGCCGCCCGGCUCUGAGGGACCCGCCAGACCUGCCCCUUCCGCUGCGGCUCACUCUGCCUUGCCCGGCGCGGCUUCUGGAUCGCCGGCUUCAUUUCUACCAGACUGGGCUCCUCUCCACUCACUUUCCCAUCCUGUUCCAGGCUGGCGACUUCGCUGCUGAGCUGAAACUGCUAAUUUCUGUGACCAGCUUUUUUCUUAGCUGUGAUCUGGAUGAAUGAGUAGCUGUCUCACAGAGAUGACAAAAAUAAACUCUAAUCCCC
ensembl:antisense 4930426D05Rik RIKEN cDNA 4930426D05 gene